rnacentral:rRNA from 1 species
UGCGCAGGCGGUUUGUUAAGUCAGAUGUGAAAGCCCCGGGCUUAACCUGGGAACUGCGUUUGAGACUGGCAAGCUGGAGUCUGUCAGAGGGGGGUAGAAUUCCACGUGUAGCAGUGAAAUGCGUAGAGAUGUGGAGGAAUACCGAUGGCGAAGGCAGCCCCCUGGGAUAAGACUGACGCUCAUGCACGAAAGCGUGGGGAGCAAACAGGAUUAGAUACCCUGGUAGUCCACGCCCUAAACGAUGUCGACUGGUUGUUGGGCAACUUGAUUGCUUAGUAACGAAGCUAACGCGAGAAGUCGACCGCCUGGGAGUACGGUCGCAAGAUUAAA